UGCUUUGAACAUCUUCUUACUUUGAUCUCCUAAUGAAUUCUUGAAAGUCAAACUUAAAUCCUUAGCUAGGAGGAACAUAAAUUUAUUUUUUCCAAGCACUAGUAGAAGAUUAACACAAUGAUAUGUCUUUUGUGAUGAAAUGCAGUUUGCAACUAGUCAUCUUUCAAGUGACAUACCAUCAGCAAGUAAGGAUGUGAUUGAUCUCAUUUAUCCAACUUGAUAAUAACUAGUUCACUGGUAGCCACAUUCCAGCCUCCUACAGUAACGUGUCAAAAUUGUUGAAGUUAAGGAUGCAGUGUAACUGUGCUUGUUGGGGUUCUUCACAAGGAUGCAAUUUCAAGAUACACCCCAUGAAUGUGCUCAAUGAAAGGACUCUCAAAUGAACAUUCUUUGGAAACUAUAAGCUACAUUCUGAUCUUCCAUCUAUUAUCAACAAAUACAUAAAAAAGGUACACGUCACGUGGAGAAGUUCAUCACACAUUCAGUCUCAUUCUCAAAGAUCAAUAAGACGAUUGAAUACAUGCUCAAAGGAGACGGCCUUUGCUGCAUCAUUUGAAUGGAAGAGUGAAACUUGAAGAAGCAAAAAAAAAAAAUUACUAGUUGGUGGUGAG